rnacentral:rRNA from 1 species
UACGUAGGGGGCGAGCGUUGUCCGGAAUUACUGGGCGUAAAGGGUGCGUAGGCGGUGGGGUAAGUUUGAGGUGAAAGCUCCGGGCUCAACCCGGAAAAUGCCUUGAAAACUAUCCGGCUAGAGGGUUGGAGGGGAGACUGGAAUUCUCGGUGUAGCAGUGAAAUGCGUAGAUCUCGAGAGGAACACCAGUGGCGAAGGCGGGUCUCUGGACAACACCUGACGCUGAGGCACGAAAGCCAGGGGAGCAAACGGG